UUAGGUGAUUAUAGCAGUGGGGUUCCACCUCUUCCCAUACCGAACAGAGAAGUUAAGCCCACUAGCGCCGAUGGUACUGCGUACUGUGGGAGAGUAGGUCGUCGCCAAUU
rnacentral:rRNA from 1 species